rnacentral:rRNA from 1 species
UACGUAGGGUGCGAGCGUUGUCCGGAAUUAUUGGGCGUAAAGAGCUCGUAGGCGGUGUGUCGCGUCGGCCGUGAAAACCUGCAGCUUAACUGUGGGCUUGCGGUCGAUACGGGCAUCACUGGAGUUCGGCAGGGGAGACAGGAAUUCCUGGUGUAGCGGUGAAAUGCGCAGAUAUCAGGAGGAACACCGGUGGCGAAGGCGGGUCUCUGGGCCGAUACUGACGCUGAGGAGCGAAAGCAUGGGGAGCGAACAGG